rnacentral:tRNA from 2 species
GGGCGCAUAGCUCAGUUGGUAGAGCACGGCCCUUACAAGGCUGGGGUCGGCAGUUCGAGCCUGUCUGCGCCCA